UCAAUAACGCAUUCAACUUUCACACACUCAUUGACUCACGGUAGCCCACCUUACCAGCAGCCAUGACCCCCAAAUCUCUAACGGCCAAAACCGAAGGGCUUGUAACGCUGUCGACCGAUUGCCGUCUUCCUCGCAGCCUCACCUGAGCCUCGCCUCGAAGCUCGCCUGAGCAUAUCGCUGUCGCUGCAUGCCUCGCCGUCAUCGAAGCCUCGCCGUCAUUGAAGCCUUGCCAUGUCGUUGUUGCUACACGCGUCAUCGUCGCCAACCCUCGCCUGAUCGGGUUGUUCUUGCCGGUAGUUGUUACUGCACGUUUCUAUUAAUUUUUUGUUCUUUCUAUUAAUUACAUGGCUAUUUUUUCUAUUUAAUAAUUUGGUAUUGUGGCUAACUGUUUGAUUGCAUUUAAUGAGUUUAAUCUAAUGUAAAUCUGUUAAAACUUGAAAAUGUUACUGGCUUAAUUUAAUUUCCUUGCUGGUUUAAUUUAAUUUAAUUUAAUUUUGAUUAAAUUUCUUUGCUGAUUUGUUUAAUUAUUUUAAUUAAAUGCAUUAAUUUUCAAUAUAAUGUAAAUGCUUAAUCUAUUUUUUUUCUACACAUAUGCUAACUCACUUUACGAAUUACUUUAAUUAAGUUUUGGGAUUAGUUGAAUAUGGCCGCCAAAGGGGAGCAAGGAAAUAAUUUUUCAUUCUCUCCAAAUAGCGUCAUGAUAUGUUGGAUUCGAGACUUGGAAUUUCCAUGAAUUUAUAGUGUUUUUAUUUUCGGAUUUUAAUGUUGGUGUGCUUGAAUUUAUAUUAUUUUUUAUGUUUGAUUUAUAUUGUGAUAUUUUAUUUGUGAAAUUUUUAUUUGUGAAUUUAUAAUGUUGUCGUAUUUUAUUUACUUAUUUACUUAUUUAUGUUGAUUGUUAAUUGUUGAAUUAUGAUUGAAUUUUAUUUGAUAUUAUUAGGUAAUUAUUAGGUAAAUUGUUCAAUUUUAAAUUUUUAUUAAAUUAUUAAAUUUUAAUUCUUACGGAUCCAAAUAUUCAGAAUAUCUCCGCAUCCAUUGUGAAUUUUACCCGCAUCCGGAUCCACAAAAAAUGUGUGGAUUCGGAUGCGGAUCCAGAUGUAUAAAUGUAAAUGCAGAUCCAGAUCCGGAU
rnacentral:lncRNA from 1 species